UUCAAGGUAAGCAGUUCUCAUGCUUUUCCUUUGAGUAACCUCCUUUUCUUACUUUCUCUCCCGUGGUUAUGGCUAUGGAUGGUAAUGACUCAUUCCAAACUAAGUACAUAUUCACGAUGACAACUGAAUCUAUCUACAUAUAUUUCAUAGCUAAGCUGUCUCUCUCAUGGCUACAGGCCAAAAAUCUGUUAAUUUGCUCUUUUAAGACAACAAACAAAACUGAGGAAGGUAUAUGAAAAGAAAUGGGAGAGUUUGCUAUUCAAUAAAAUGUAAUUCCUACCUAGAA